rnacentral:rRNA from 1 species
UACAUGAAGCUGGAAUCGCUAGUAAUCGCGAAUCAGAAUGUCGCGGUGAAUACGUUCCCGGGUCUUGUACACACCGCCCGUCACACCAUGGGAGUCGGAUAUGCCCGAAGUCAGUGACCCAACCAUAUGGAGGGAGCUGCCGAAGGUGGAGCCGAUAACUGGGGUGAAGUCGUAACAAGGUAAC